CUUGCUAACUAGCACAUUAUUAGGAAAAGGCGUUUUGCGAGGAUUCAUAAAAACCACUUAUACUCACUUCUUCUGUAGAUGAAGCUGGAUCAGGAAUGAUUCGCGCGAACAUAGACGCAUUUAGGCAGAUCGGGAUCGGCGCAUUACCUUCAAGUCUAAAGUAACGUUAAUCCUCUGCGUCUUCAGCGGCUCAGAUGUCGGGAGUUAAUGACGACUGCUAUAUUCAUUAUUACAUCCAGCAACAAACCACCUCAAUCGCUUAAUCGGAGACAUCUUGUCUUCCCCUGCACUGGAGUCGACACAAUGGUGGACUGAUGACAGAUCACUCAGGGCAGGUCUAAGGCAUAUUACGAUUCAGAGACGCUCAGCUUUACUUGGAAAAAGUUGUUGCAACAAUUUCCACUGCCCAGUGUUUUAAAAAGGAGCGGACGUCACACCUUCCAAUUCACUUCAGAAAGGCAGAUGUCCAUAGAGGUAUGAACUUUGUGAAUUAUUUGUUAAUAUAUAGUGGCAAGAAAUGGUAUUUAAUAGUGUAAGUGGCCACUGGAGGCCGCUAGAGCUAAUGCACUCUCUGUCAGGUCAUACAUGUGACUGGGUUUCAGGCUGUUUACCCUGGAAUCUGUAUAGCUGAUUAUCAGUUUUCUCUCGUCUGAUUUCGCGCAUCUCAUAAGCUCAGAGACAUAAUUUCAGAGACCUUCAAGCUAGCGGCUAACACAGAAAAGCAGCAAUUUUAAGUUUACACCCUUGGUGAGCGGAGCGAGUUUUCACGGUGCUCAUGCUGAAUACAAUUGAAUAAAAAGAUUGCACCCGUUAGAGACUCUCUGCCAUUAUUAAGGAGCCAAGGGCUGUAACAAAUAGUAGUCUUUUUGGAAAUUGAAGUUUGCCUGCAAAAUUUGGCAAAACACACAACCUAACAGCAAUUGCCAAUGGAAGCUGAUUGAAAACAAGAAUGUCCACAAGAGCUGGCCGGUUCUAUUGAUUAUGGGAUCUUCAUGUUGAUGGUAAGAAAAAGAAAGGGAAAGUUAAAAAAAAAAAUCUUGAAAUAUAUCAACUUCCUUUUCAUUAGAAUGAAAAACAUGAGGGCUUUUCACACAUGAAAUAGUUAACACUGGGUGAAUGUAAACCCCAGGUAAACUGAAUACUGGUUUAUCUUGCUUCAUGUUUCACACAGAAUGUAAUUUACCUGGGGUUGACCAUUAAUCCUGGGUUUUCAUAUGCUGCUGUUUUACAUUGUACGUUUCUAAACCCCUGGUAAACAUCCUUAUAUGCACAUUUUCUGUAUCAGUGUCACUGAUUGGACAGACACUGCAUAUGAUGUGAUACAAAAAUGCCCAAGCACUGCACAUCCUCAUAUUACAUACAGCUGACUUUAUCAAGUUCAUCCUGAAUGUACUUUUUAGAUUAUAAAAUAAAUAUACACUCUUUUUGACCCUGACUGUUGUGUUUUCUGUCAGCAUUUGACAAUUCUGACAUCCUGUCAAAUUCUGAAUUUAAUUGACUGUUUUUAUGGAGUGCUUAUUUUUGCAGUGACUGUCCGAAGCACUUGAAUAUGAGGUAGGCAAUUGGUUUUCUGUCUAUUGAUAAAGGGUUAACAAUGCUAAAGCCAUAGAAACCCUUCUCUGGAGUAGGCUUUCAUUACACCAAGUUAAAAUGGUGCUAAACCCCAUUACAAGUGUGAAAUGUUUCUUUGCAUGGGGUUAGAAGUGGUGUUUACACUGUACAUAUUUAUACAUUUAUUGGGGAGGCAUAUAUGGACUCCAACUGAUGAUCUGUUAACAUUGUAUUUUUCCCCUCCAUGUGCAUGUCCUUUCAUUCAAAUAUGAUGUAUCCUGCUAGAGAAUUUUGCAGUUACAAGGUAUCUCUUUAUCCCUCUCUCUCUCUCUCCUGGUCAUUUGACUAUAAAUGAACUUUUUCACAGGAAACUUUUGUACACUUCUCUCAAGAAGAAGCCACAGAUAACAGAAGGCCCCUGUCUGCACUGCAGUAAGAUGGCUUUGCAACAACCAAAAGUCUUCUAAGGUUUAGUGGAAGAGCCGUGCUUUCUAAAAAUUGAAAGAGGAAGACCAGGAAAAAGUCCUUCCUCAGCUUUCACAGUCUGAAUCAGAUGAUGAUUGACAACUGGCCAAAGAGCUUUAGCCUUUCGCUUCCAAAUUAAAGAUGAUAGACUUUUUUUGUAUUUAUUUUUUUUAGUAUAUUAUGUCUUUGCUACUUAAGUGGAAAAGUACAUUUUAUUAAAAUUUAAUAUAUUUUGUGUUUUGAUUUUUAGGUUUGAUGGAUCUGAAUUUGCUUCAAUUAAUUCUGUAUAGAAUUGUGUAAUGUGUAUGAAAAAAAUGCUUCAUUCUGAAAUGGUUGAAAUAUUUUAUUUCAAAUAAAGAGUUCAAAUGCUUAAGCUUUGUUUUAAUUUGUGUUUUAUUAUUUGUGUUCAGUAUUAAGUUAAGACAUAAAAAACAAGAUGAUAGACUUUUGACUUUAGCUUUUUAAGACCCGAGAAAAACGUUUUAGGAAAAAAAUAGUUUUUUCCAUGUCUUUACAUUGUUUAGAGCAUUAAAAAUAAUGUUAUUAUUUUAGUCUCCGUCUGUGUUUGAUUGCUGCUCACCUGUUUCAGUUCUUCUCGUUUGAUUCCCAGUAUUCUUAAGCCUUGGUUUUCCCCGUGUCUGAUGGUAUUGUUUGUCUUACCCCCCAUGCUUAA